UACGUAGGGUGCAAGCGUUGUCCGGAAUUAUUGGGCGUAAAGAGCUCGUAGGCGGUCUGUCGCGUCGGCUGUGAAAACUCGGGGCUCAACCCCGAGCCUGCAGUCGAUACGGGCAGACUAGAGUGCGGUAGGGGAGACUGGAAUUCCUGGUGUAGCGGUGAAAUGCGCAGAUAUCAGGAGGAACACCGGUGGCGAAGGCGGCGACCUGGGUCGAUACUGACGCUGAGGUGCGAAAGCGUGGGGAGCAAACAGG
rnacentral:rRNA from 1 species